GGGUUAUAUACUAGAAUAGAAUCAUGAUAACUCCCUAGCCUGUUGGUUUGCUUUAUAGGUUGUGUGUUUUACCCUUCCUUCUUCGACCCUAGUCCACUGUGGUGGGUAAGGUUUCUUUUUAAAAUUUUUCCAACCAGUGUCAUCUUAUGUCAUCAUGCUGAUCCUCUAUUCAAUGGAUACGUAUAUUGCAUAUCUUAUCAACCCCAAAGCACUUUUAUUGGCUGAAUCAAGGACAGAACUUGAAUAUAUGCAAUGAUCCAAGGAAAGUCCUUGCCACAUCUGAGUUAUACUCCAAAGGACUAGUCAAUGUUACAAUUGAAGCUUUUGGAGUUAUCAUAAACCGCAAGAAUUUGUUCCUCCUAGGGAAUGCUGUAUUGAAUUCAGCACCCUCUCAUGCUAACUGUGGGGAAAUUCUCACUGACAGAAACAUGUUACUUCCAUUGGAAAUCCUUUUCCCCUUUUCAUUGGUGAUCACCGUCAUGGGCAAUUUAGUGCCUGAUUCUAUUGGCUGGCUAAUUCAGUGCUGUGACUCAUUUUCUCAAG